rnacentral:rRNA from 1 species
UACACUCCUGCGGGAGGCAGCAGUGGGGAAUUUUGGACAAUGGGCGAAAGCCUGAUCCAGCAAUGCCGCGUGCAGGAUGAAGGCCUUCGGGUUGUAAACUGCUUUUGUACGGAACGAAAAAGCUCCUUCUAAUACAGGGGGCCCAUGACGGUACCGUAAGAAUAAGCACCGGCUAACUACGUGCCAGCAGCCGCGGUAAUACGUAGGGUGCGAGCGUUAAUCGGAAUUACUGGGCGUAAAGCGUGCGCAGGCGGUUAUGUAAGACAGAUGUGAAAUCCCCGGGCUCAACCUGGGAACUGCAUUUGUGACUGCAUGGCUAGAGUACGGUAGAGGGGGAUGGAAUUCCGCGUGUAGCAGUGAAAUGCGUAGAUAUGCGGAGGAACACCGAUGGCGAAGGCAAUCCCCUGGACCUGUACUGACGCUCAUGCACGAAAGCGUGGGGAGCAAACAGGAUUAGAUACCCUAGUAGUCCCA